rnacentral:rRNA from 1 species
CCUACGGGUGGCAGCAGUGGGGAAUAUUGGACAAUGGGCGAAAGCCUGAUCCAGCCAUGCCGCGUGUGUGAAGAAGGCCUUCGGGUUGUAAAGCACUUUCAGUGGGGAAGAAAGCCUUGGGGCUAAUACCCUCGAGGAAGGACAUCACCCACAGAAGAAGCACCGGCUAACUCCGUGCCAGCAGCCGCGGUAAUACGGAGGGUGCGAGCGUUAAUCGGAAUUACUGGGCGUAAAGCGCGCGUAGGCGGUCUGAUAAGCCGGUUGUGAAAGCCCCGGGCUCAACCUGGGAACGGCAUCCGGAACUGUCAGGCUAGAGUGCAGGAGAGGAAGGUAGAAUUCCCGGUGUAGCGGUGAAAUGCGUAGAGAUCGGGAGGAAUACCAGUGGCGAAGGCGGCCUUCUGGACUGACACUGACGCUGAGGUGCGAAAACGUGGGUAGCAAACAGGAUUAGAUACCCCUGUAGUC